UAACAUGCUGCACAUAAAACCAAAACAAGCCCUGAGCCCUCCUCCCCAAGGAACACGAGCGGCAGACACAACCAUCUGUCUUAUUGAUAGUCCUACUGCAAGAAUAUGGGACAACGAGAUCCUCCUGAGGCAAUAAAGGUGAUGCAAACCCUUUCCCCUCAGCAGCUUUAGAAUGGCAGAUACACCAGAGGGCUUCAUAUUGGACAUCAGUGAUAUAAAGACCAGAGGCUGAGACUACACAAGCCUUCCUCACAGGAUUCCUCCUGGCUCUCCUGGUCUCCAUCAUCGUCUUCAUCUUCUUCAGCCCUGAUGCUCUCCCUCUUCUUCCUCCGGGAGGGUCUCCGGACAAUACGAAGAACCUUGUUGACUCUGUUCAUGUGAGGGCAGUAGAGAAGGUCCCCUCACCUGCUCCUUUCUGAUGACCCUGUGUCCCACCAGGGAUGCUCCUCAGAGAGACUUAGCUGUCUGGACAAUGCUGUUGCAGCUUUUCCAGCCUGGAAAUCUCAGCUGAACACUCACUCCAGGAAUAAGAAGAAGAGGCAGCCUUAUCAGCUUCUCUGCUCCUGAGCACUGUGUGGGUUGAUGCCAGUGUAUUUUUUUUUCCCUCUGCUGACUUAAAAGAGCUAAUAACUCUUCGGGGCAGUUCCCUUCCAAGCGCAGUGUUUUAGACUUUAGAUGUAAGACUACGCUGUGGCAGGCUGUUAUUAGCUCUCUGCAGGCUGUACAACCAGCUGCCGCUCACAGCCUUCAAAGCUCUGAUAGAGUCAGCAGGGAUGGAAACGACAUGUGAAGGAAACACAUCACACUCCAAAUGUUCCCACUACAUUCAAGUUCCCCCAGUACAGCUAAUAGGAUAAGAACAGGAGAGGCGGCACAAUGGGAGAUGGGAUGAUCAAUAGGAUUGAUUGCCAGCUUCUCAGAAUAGAGGGUGCAGGGAUCCCAUUAAAAAACCUUUAUCUAUCUAUCUAUCUAUCUAUCUAUCUUUCUAUCUUUCUAUCUAUCUAUCGGUCUGUCUGUCUGUCUAUUUGUCUCUUUGUGAUUUCCAAGAUCUGUCCAGCACACAUCAUGGGAAGUGGCAAUAAAAAACCAAAGAGACGUUAUUUACGCCUGUGAACAAGUGCAUUUGAUUUAUAUGCACAUUAAGUGUGUGUCAUCAGAAUGUAUAAAUACCCUAACUAUGCCAUUAAUCCUCCAGAUGCUCUAAUUAGCUGAAGGUUUAAAACUUCAAACGAACAGAUCUCCAAGCUUGGAGCAUGGAACUGAUCUAAAAGGGAAAUGCACAUCAGAAUCAGUAAGAAACUAAGUAACUUGGGAGAGGAAACCUGCGCUGAGCUGAUGGAAUGUUAGGGGAUAUCAGGAUGGAGUCUAGGGAACAUUGUAGAAUUUGGCCUAGAAACUAGAGAUGGCUUAUUCUGUUUAUUGCCUCCCUGGGGAUGUAAAAAAAAAGACCAAGUGAGGCGAAAGAGCUGAUAGAGAAGGGGAGUGGGGUGGAGAAUUGAAAAACUGAAAAAAAUCAGCCAAACAUACAUAGAUUGCAGAUAGACAUACAGUGUAGGAAACACAAGGAGAGGAGGCAGAGACAACAGAAAAAUAAUCCAUGGCAUUAAUAGGACGAGGAUAAAGAGUGAAGAAGAGGUAGAUGUAUGGGUGGUUCAGUGAAGAAGAGGAGAGACUGGAUAAAGUACGUGAUGAAAGGUAAAGAGGAAGGAGGUAGAGAAAGUAGCACAUAAGGUAUAGUUGAUGGAGAAGAACCAGUAAUUGUAGGAAAAAUGAUAAGCAUGGCUGGUCAAAGGAAAAGGAGUUAAGUAGGGGUUGUUAAACAAACUAGAGGAGCCCAACUAAGAGUCAAGUCUAUUUAAAAAGUCCUUUGACCUGUUGGGGUCAGAUUUUAAAAGAUUAUAGGGUUCAUAUACAGUAGGCCUUGGUGCUCCAUUCCAGAGUACAGAGACCUGUGGACUGCGCUUUAAAUCGAGUGCUUCCAGCGUUCUAAGCAGAUGAAGCCCCGCAGGGGUCCAGCCUUCUAUCCCCCCCGAAUGACGUGCAAGGUACGAAGCGUCAGGACGCUGUGCUCGUCACUCAGUGCCGCUUUAUCAUCCAGCCCUCAGGGCAGAGCACAGUGUGAGGGGAGGGGGAGUGCUUCAGGAAUUAGACCUAAGGACCCCCCUAAUGCUCUGCCCCUUGCACCACCCGGAGUCAUUAAAUGAAAGACCCCUUAUAUGUACUUCUUAAAAAAAUUUAAAUAAAAUAUUAUAUUAUUA